rnacentral:RNase_P_RNA from 2 species
GGAGGCUGCCUGGCGGCCGCCGCCGCUACCAAGCGGCGGAGGAAAGUCCGGACACCACAGGGCAGGGAGGUCGUUAACGGCGACCGGGGGUGACCCCAGGGACAGGGCCACAGAAAACAGACCGCCCCGAAAGGGGUAAGGGUGAAAUGGCGGGGUAAGAGCCCACCAGCCGUCCGGGUGACCGGGCGGGCUUGGCAACCCCCUCCCGGUGCAAGGCCGAAUAGGUUCCGCUUUAAGGACUGCCCGUCUUUUUUCCUCACGGAAAGGCGGAACGGGUUGGCCGCUCGAGGCCGCUGGCAACAGCUGGCCCAGACGAAUGGCCGCCGUCCCGGGCAACCGGGAUAACAGGAUCCGGCUUACGGUAGCCUCCGCCA